rnacentral:tRNA from 1 species
GGGCGCGUAGCUCAAUGGCAGAGCAGCGGCCUUUUAAGCCGUUGGUUGAGGGUUCGAUCCCCUCCGCGCUCA